rnacentral:rRNA from 1 species
UACGUAGGUGGCAAGCGUUGUCCGGAAUCACUGGGCGUAAAGGGCGCGUAGGCGGCCUGAUAAGUAGGGGGGUGAAAUCCUGCGGCUUAACCGCAGGGCUGCCUUCUAAACUGUCAGGCUAGAGCACGGUAGAGGCAGAUGGAAUUCCCGGUGUAGCGGUGGAAUGCGUAGAUAUCGGGGGGGAAUACCAGUGGCGAAAGCGGCACCCUAGCGUUAGCCUGACGCUCAUGUGCGAAAGCGUGGGGAGCGAACGGG